AGCUCCAAUAGCGUAUAUUAAAGUUGUUGCAGUUAGAACGCUCGUAGUCGGAUUUCGGGGCGGGCCGACCGGUCUGCCGAUGGGUAUGCACUGGUCGGCGCGUCCUUCCUUCCGGAGACCGUGCCUACUCUUAACUGAGCGGGGGCGGGAGACGGAACGUUUACUUUGAAAAAAUCAGAGUGUUUCAAGCAGGCAGCUCGCUCUUGCAUGGAUUAGCAUGGGAUAAUGAAAUAGGACUUUGGUGCUAUUUUGUUGGUUUCGAACACCGAAGUAAUGAUGAGAAGGGACAGUCAGGGGCACUCGUAUUCCGCCGAGAGAGGUGAAAUUCUCAGACCAGCGGAAGACGAACCACUGCGAAAGCAUUUGCCAGGGAUGUUUUCACUG
rnacentral:rRNA from 1 species